rnacentral:rRNA from 1 species
GAUGAACGCUAGCGGGAGGCCUAACACAUGCAAGCCGAGCGGUAGAGUUUCUUCGGAAACUUGAGAGCGGCGCACGGGUGCGUAACACGUGUGCAACCUACCUUUAUCUGGGGGAUAGCCUUUCGAAAGGAAGAUUAAUACCCCAUAAUAUAAUGAUUGGCAUCAAUUAUUAUUGAAAACUCCGGUGGAUAGAGAUGGGCACGCACAAGAUUAGAUAGUUGGUUAGGUAACGGCUCACCAAGUCAAUGAUCUUUAGGGGUCCUGAGAGGGAGAUCCCCCACAAUGGUAAUGCGACCCGGACCAGAACGCUACGGGAGGGAGCAGUGAGGAAUAUUGGACAAUGGGUGAGAGCCUGAUACAGCCAUCCCGCGUGAAGGAUGACGGUCCUAUGGAUUGUAAACUUCUUUUGUACAGGGAUAAACCUACCCUCGUGAGGGUAGCUGAAGGUACUGUACGAAUAAGCACCGGCUAACUCCGUG